rnacentral:rRNA from 1 species
GAUUUCUGGCUUGGUGCGCCUGGCCCGCCACGGUAACGUGUGUGAGUGCUGGGUCGCGCCUGCCAUCCUUCUAGAGAACGUGCCUACCCUUAACUGGGCCGGGCACGCGAUCUAGAUCUUUUACUUUGAAAAAAUUAGAGUGUUUAAAGCAGGCUUUUGCUAUGAAUACAUUAGCAUGGAAUAAUAAUCUAGGACUUCGGUUCUAUUUUGUUGGUUUCUAGGACUGAAGUAAUGAUUGAUAGGGAUAGUUGGGGGUGCUAGUAUUCAGCGGCCAGAGGUGAAAUUCUCGGAUUCGCUGAAGACUAACUUAUGCGAAAGCAUU